rnacentral:rRNA from 1 species
UAGUCCACGCCGUAAACGAUGUCGACUAGCCGUUGGGGACCUUAGAGUCUUUAGUGGCGCAGCUAACGCACUAAGUCGACCGCCUGGGGAGUACGGCCGCAAGGUUAAAACUCAAAUGAAUUGACGGGGGCCCGCACAAGCGGUGGAGCAUGUGGUUUAAUUUGAAGCAACGCGCAGAACCUUACCAGCCCUUGACAUGGGGGUCGCGGGUACCGGAGACGGUAUCCAUCAGUUCGGCUGGACCCCACACAGGUGCUGCAUGGCUGUCGUCAGCUCGUGUCGUGAGAUGUUGGGUUAAGUCCCGUCAACGAGCGCAACCCUCGCCCUUAGUUGCCAGCGGUUUCGGCCGGGCACUCUAGGGGAACUGCCGGUGACAAGCCGGAGGAAGGCGGGGAUGACGUCAAGUCCUCAUGGCCCUUAUGGGCUGGGCUACACACGUGCUACAAUGGCAGUGACAACGGGUAGCGAAGGGGUGACCUGGAGCCAAUCCCGAAAAGCCGUCUCAGUUCGGAUUGUACUCUGC